UCUCUUUGCUCUUGAACAUGGAUGUGAUCCCUGCCUUGACUUCCACUCAGCAAUGUGCUGUGACCUGGAUUGAAAGCCAAAUAAUGCCUUUCUCAACAAAGCUGCCUUCUGUUCGGGCAUUUUGUCACAGCAACAGAAAGGAAACCCAGACAAGUGUGCAUCUGUGUGCACAGGCACAGAAAUCUCUGGCCUCAUGGUCAGGUCCUGUCCCAAUCCUGAAGACAGGGCAGACUGGCACAUCCCAGUCUGGAGGGAAAGAGAAAUUUACCAACAAGAUAGAGUCGACAUGAAGGUGGUGACUUUCCUCAUAGUCCUUGUGUUUUUCAGUUGUGCCAGCAAGGUUGGGGGUGGGGGAGACAUUUGUCAGGGUAAGGCACUCACAAAUAUUGCUUUCAAUCGUCUAAGGUUAAUGUCCUAGAAAAGCUUCGUGACUGUUAUUCACAGGACCCUUCUUCCAAUUGCCUUGUCACUGAGAGUCCCUGGGAGCCUGUCCUCCCAGUCCAGGAGGUUUUCAGUGAUAUCCAAAUUACAUUUAUAGAGGCAAGAAUCAUAGGACUUCUGAGUACAUGUGUCAAAUGGAUUAAAACAGAAAUUGAUUUGGCUCAAGAAGCAAAUCAUUGCCUAUUAAAACAUAAUGGUGUCCCCAAUUAUGUUUAGGUUUCCCGUGACUACUUUGUAGCAUGUCUGCUGUUGACUCAGACCAUAGCGCCUGGAAAGUUCCUCCAGCUGCUCACCUAUGUGCUUCUUUUCAAAAUGCAUUUCUUUGGGAAAUUAGAAACUGAGAAGUUACACAGCACUGGGCUGAGAGCUGGAUGCCCUUGAGAAGCAAGCUGUGGCUGCCACUUACGGUGCAGCUUGUAAAGAAGGAUUCUGGGAGGCAUUUGCCUCUUGAGAGCAUGGUUGUGACAGUUUAGGGUCCCAGGAGAGGAAGGAAUGUUUUGUUUUGUUUUGUCUGACAUGGAAGCCUUUCUACAGGGAAAGGGGUGAAGAAAAUGUAUACUGGAAAAUCAGUUUUGUAGAAUUUUCAUUGAUAAUACUGCAUGGUUGUUUUUAGCUAAGUUAUUAGCCUCCAUUUUUAGUACAAUAAAUUAGUCUAUAAUAGGCCAUUAUGAUAGAAUGUUGGAAUUAUUUUUUUAAAAACUUAUUUUUGUGAUUUUUAAUUGUGGGGGGUGGGCUGUGAGUGCAGGUUCUCACAGAGGCCAAAGGUGUUUGAUUCUUUGGGCUACAGUGUAAGCAGUCUGACAUGGGUUCUUGGAGUCAAACUUGGGUCUCCUGGAAGAAUAAUAUAUAUUUUUAGCCACUGAGCCAUUUUCUCCAGUCCCAGAUGCUGGAAUUGAAAACAUUUGUGGUGGAGCCGGGGCAAUGGCUCGUUUGAUCAGCACUUGCUGCUCAAGCAGGAGAACCUGGCUUUAGAUUCCCAACUCCCUUAGCAGAGACAAGUAUGGCUGUGCAUGCUGAUAUGGCUGUGCUGGGCAUAGGAUGGAGAUAGGCUCCUUGACUAGCCAGUCCAGCUGAAUCAUUAAACUCUAGUUUCAGUGAAAGACACUGUUUCAAAGAGUAAGGUGGAGGAUUUAUAAUGGUAUCCCAUUGUCAACCUCAGGGCCAUGUGGAUGAGUGCAUUGACACAACAUGUAUAACACACACACACACACACACACACACACACACACACACACACACACACACACAGAGAGAGAGAGAGAGAUGGGGGGUGGUGGGGAGGAAGGGAGAGAGAGAGAGAGUUUUAGAAUAAACUUGGUUUGGCCUGUAUUACCAGCCUGUGGGCAUGGAUUUAGGUCCCGUUUCUGACUCUUUCAAAUUAUCCCCUAUGUUCUGUUUGUAGACACUCCCCCUUAGUGGGCUGCUUCUUUGUACAUACAGCUCAGAAUGUCCCCUCCCGUCUCCCUUAUGAUCAAAUGUCUACCUUCCCAUCACGUUAAGACAAUAGGGCUGGGGUGUAGCUCAGCCAUAGACUAGGGCCUGGUGUGUACAAGGAAGGCCCUGGACUCUGUCCCCAACCCUGAAGAAAAUGAACACAAGGAAGAGGAUUUCAUAGAUUUUACCCUGAGAACUCAUGAUAUGUUGUAUUUUUUUUCAUUUUCUUUAUUUUGAAAGCAUAUUGAUGUAAGGAACGAGAGUGACUGCAUACACUGGCUUAUAGCCGAUGCUGCGUUCUCAGCUUAUAGCAGUUAUCCUAUGAUCUACAGUUUAACAACAUUAACAGAAAAAGGGGUUUCACUGAAACAGAAUGCAAUAGCCUCACCUGCGUCAGACUCUGAAACAUCCAACAAGAGCUUUGGUGGCUAA
ensembl:lncRNA